GAUGAACGCUGGCGGCGUGCCUAAUACAUGCAAGUCGAGCGAACGGACGAGAAGCUUGCUUCUCUGAUGUUAGCGGCGGACGGGUGAGUAACACGUGGAUAACCUACCUAUAAGACUGGGAUAACUUCGGGAAACCGGAGCUAAUACCGGAUAAUAUUUUGAACCGCAUGGUUCAAAAGUGAAAGACGGUCUUGCUGUCACUUAUAGAUGGAUCCGCGCUGCAUUAGCUAGUUGGUAAGGUAACGGCUUACCAAGGCAACGAUGCAUAGCCGACCUGAGAGGGUGAUCGGCCACACUGGAACUGAGACACGGUCCAGACUCCUGCGGGAGGCAGCAGUAGGAAAUCUUCCGCAAUGGGCGAAAGCCUGACGGAGCAACGCCGCGUGAGUGAUGAAGGUCUUCGGAUCGUAAAACUCUGUUAUUAGGGAAGAACAUAUGUGUAAGUAACUGUGCACAUCUUGACGGUACCUAAUCAGAAAGCCACGGCUAACUACGUG
rnacentral:rRNA from 1 species